AUCUUUUGAAGAGUCAACAGUGAGUGGAGGUUUUGGUUCAGAAUCAAAAAAAAUUGUUCCACGGUUACAAAUUGUCAUACUUGUAGUUGGAACAAGAGGUGACGUACAACCUUUUGUGGCUAUAGCAAAGAGACUUCAGGCAUGUUUGGAUAUUUCCAUUCAAUUCAUUUUGAUGCACACAGCACGUGAGAAUUUCCAUUAAAUCAUCAUAACCUUUGUUAUUGCUUUCUUGCCUUUUGUACGGUGUAGGUCUCCAUAAUAUCUUCAUAUUUGCUUCAAUGUGAGCCUAAAAUGUGACAUUACUUUUCGUGGAGAUCACAUCAUAUAAUAUUUCCUUUUAUUAGUUUUGUUCUGAAAGGCUUUGUAAAAACUUACGUAUUAGUAUAUUAUCAUCUUGCUAAUUUAUCAUAUUGGCAUUAGUGAAUACAACUUGUCAUUGUAAUUCUAGAUUAGAUUUCUUAUAUUUGGGAAGGAAUUAUUCUGGUCCUAUUCACUCUGAGUUUAAAAUCCCUAGGUUUUUCCAAGUUAUCUGAUUACUGUUGGACGAUUUGCUCUGCUGAUCUAUCUGAAAAUAUGCAAUGAUGUGGUUUUUAAAUACUGUUGAUGUAUCUUGCGUCCCAACAGUCAGUUUUGUUGCAUUUAUUCUUUCUUUCAUAGAUGAACUAAUUUUUACUUGCAGGAGUAUGGUCAUCAUGUUAGGCUGGCAACUCAUGCUAAUUUCAAAACAUUUGUAAAGUCAGCUGGAGUAGAUUUCUAUCCUCUGGGUGGUGAUCCUCGUGUUUUGGCAGGAUGUAAGAGGUCCCUUUUUAAUAUUAAGUCAUUUAUUCUCAGUCUACUUGUACUUUUUAUAAUACUUAUCAGGUAGCUGUAUGUAAGACCUUGCUUUUAUACUUCAAGUUGUUAAUGUAUGAUACAUUAUCUAAAUUUCCAAGUGUUAAGCUCAACAAUGCAAAAUAGAUACUCUAACGUAUCUUGCUUGCCUAUAACUGUAUAUGAACCUAAAGCAUAUCUAAAAUAGAUAAGGAUGUAUUAUAUAUCCUAGCUAUAAUAACUACCAAGGA
rnacentral:lncRNA from 1 species